rnacentral:rRNA from 1 species
GGGAUUGCCCUAGUAACGGCGAGUGAAGCGGCAACAGCUCAAAUUUGAAAUCUGGCUCUUUCAGAGUCCGAGUUGUAAUUUGCAGAGGGCGCUUUGGCGUUGGCAGCGGUCCAAGUUCUUUGGAACAGGACGUCACAGAGGGUGAGAAUCCCGUACGUGGUCGCUAGCCUUGGCCGUGUAAAGCCCCUUCGACGAGUCGAGUUGUUUGGGAAUGCAGCUCUAAAUGGGAGGUAAAUUUCUUCUAAAGCUAAAUACUGGCCAGAGACCGAUAGCGCACAAGUAGAGUGAUCGAAAGAUGAAAAGCACUUUGGAAAGAGAGUCAAAUAGCACGUGAAAUUGUUGAAAGGGAAGCGCUUGCAGCCAGACUUGCCUGUAGUUGCUUAUCUGGACUUUUGUCCGGUGCACUCUUCUGCGGGCAGGCCAGCAUCAGUUUGGGCGGUUGGAUAAAGGUCUCUGUCAUGUACCUCCUUUCGGGGAGGCCUUAUAGGGGAGACGACAUGCAACCAGCCUGGACUGAGGUCCGCGCAUCUGCUAGGAUGCUGGCGUAAUGGCUGUAAGCGGCCCGUCUUGAAACACGGACCAAGGAGUCUAACAUCUAUGCGAGUGUUUGGGUGUCAAGCCCAGACGCGUAAUGAAAGUGAACGGAGGUGGGAACCCUUUGGGUGCACCAUCGACCGAUCCUGAUGUCUUCGGAUGGAUUUGAGUAAGAGCAUGGCUGUUGGGACCCGAAAGAUGGUGAACUAUGCUUGAAUAGGGUGAAGCCAGAGGAAACUCUGGUGGAGGCUCGCAGCGGUUCUGACGUGCAAAUCGAUCGUCAAAUUUGGGCAUAGGGGCG